GUCCUGAGAUGGGAAUCGAACCCACAAUGUUCCGCUUACCGGGCAGAUGCCAUGUCCACUAGGCUACCCUGGA